UACGUAGGGUGCGAGCAUUAAUCGGAAUUACUGGGCGUAAAGCGUGCGCAGGCGGUUUUGUAAGCCAGAUGUGAAAUCCCCGGGCUUAACCUGGGAACUGCGCUUGUAACUGAGAGGCUAGAGUGUGGCAGAGGGGGGUGGAAUUCCACGUGUAGCAGUGAAAUGCGUAGAUAUGUGGAGGAACACCGAUGGCGAAGGCAGCCCCCUGGGCUAACACUGACGCUCAUGCACGAAAGCGUGGGGAGCAAACAGG
rnacentral:rRNA from 1 species